ensembl:snRNA U6 U6 spliceosomal RNA
GUGCUCGCUUUGGCAGCUCAUAUACUGAAACUGGAACAAUAUAGCCAGGAUUAGCAUGGCCCCUGCACAAAGAUAACAGGCAAAUUCAGGAAGUAUUCCAUAUAAUU